rnacentral:tRNA from 1 species
GCUAGCGUAGCUUAAUAUAAAGCGUAACACUGAAGAUGUUAGGAUGGGCCCUAGAAAGCUCCGCAUGCA